rnacentral:tRNA from 1 species
GAGAGAGGCUCGAAAGCAACGAUGACUGCUAAUCAUCGUGACCUUAGUUUGACCCUAAGGCUCACUCG